UGGGGGAUAUUGCACAAUGGGCGAAAGCCUGAUGCAGCGACGCCGCGUGGGGGAUGAAGGCCUUCGGGUUGUAAACUUCUUUUGCUCUGAACAAGGCAUGCCUUUGGGGUGUGUUGAGUGUAGGGGUUGAUUAGCGCCGGCCAACUACGUGCCAGCAGCCGCGGUAAUACGUAGCGCGCGAGCGUUGUCCGGAAUUAUUGGGCGUAAAGGGCUUGUAGGUGGCUGGUUGCGUCUGUCGUGAAAGCUCAUGGCUUAACUGUGGGUUUGCGGUGGGUACGGGCUGGCUUGAGUGCAGUAGGGGAGGCUGGAAUUCCUGGUGUAGCGGUGGAAUGCGCAGAUAUCAGGAGGAAUACCGGUGGCGAAGGCGGGUCUCUGGGCUGUUACUGACGCUGAGGAGCAAAAGCGUGGGGAGCGAACAGG
rnacentral:rRNA from 1 species